rfam:Dipodomys ordii contig_9304, whole genome shotgun sequence.
GGGAAGGUGGUUCAGUGGCAGGGCACUUGCCUUGCAAGCAUGAGACCCUGGGUUCCAUUCCUCAGCCACCACA